rnacentral:rRNA from 1 species
UACGGGGGGGGUAAGCGUUGUUCGGAAUUACUGGGCGUAAAGGGUGUGUAGGCGGUUCCCUAAGUUUGGUGUGAAAUCUCCCGGCUCAACCGGGAGGGUGCGCCGAAAACUGGGGGGACUAGAGUGCGGGAUGGGAGAGUAGAAUUCCUGGUGUAGCGGUGAAAUGCGUAGAUAUCUGGAGGAACACCGGUGGCGAAGGCGACAUCCUGGACCAACACUGACGCUGAGGAGCGAAAAGCCAGGGGGAGCAAACAGGGAU